GGGGCAGUGGCGAAAUGGUAUACGCGGGAGACUUAAAAUCUCCUAUCCGUAAGGAUGUGCGGGUUCGAGUCCCGCCUGCCCCA
rnacentral:tRNA from 1 species